AAGGCCAGGGAUCGAACCCGAAACUUCAUGGUUCCUAGUUGGAUUCGUUAACCACUGAGCCUCGAUGGGAACUCCAUGGUUUCCUUUUUUGUUUGUUUGUUUUAGAUAAGGAAAUUGGAGCUCUCAGAGGUAAAGACAUUUGCCUAAAUCUCCACAGGAAGUGGAUGGUAGCUCUGAGUCUCUCUAAGCCUUUGACCUUGUGCUGGGAGAUGCUGUUUCCUGUGUCUUACUCCAUCCUGGCUGCAAGAAGGGUCACAUGUGAGAGCACUUCUGGAACAGCAGCUGGGCACAAUGGGCACCCAGAAAGCUGUAACCACACAGUGUCCCUGCCCUAUAACAGAAAAGCAUGUCCACAGUCCCAGGAGGCUGGGUGUCCUCCACCUUGUGUCCGUCUAAGGGGGAGUGGGUUAUACGCAUAGUCAUAUGUAAAAGGUACUUUGGAAACCUCACCCAUGCACAAUGACCAGCGGGAAGAGCCGUUCUGAUGGCAGUGGGCAUCCAUUGCUGGUUCUUAUCCCAGAGGACAAAGGAGGUCAGCCGGCCUCCCUGAAUUCAGCCUGGGGUGGUGGUAACACAAUCCCUGCCAUGAGUGCUUGAGGAAGGAAGCAGCCUUUGGGUUGAAUGCUUCAUUUGCCUCUUUUUAGCUCUGUGAUCUUAGCUGAGUGCCCAAGCCUCAGUUUCUGCAACCUUGAAGGCCGGGUUCGUAAAAACCAACCUGGCAGAGUUGCUGCUUGGAUUAAGUGAUAUGGAGCCAAGCUGCCUGGGUUUGAAUCCUAGCUCUGCCCCUUACUGGCUGUGUAACGUGGGGCAAGUAACAGAAUCUCUCUGUGUCUUGGUUUUCUUGUCUGUAAAAUGCGUUAGGAUCUAACUCGACAGGUUAUGGUGAAGAUGAAUGAGUAAAUAUACGCCAAGUGGUCAGAGUAGUGCCUAGUACAUUGUAUACUCCCAGUAAAUGUAGUUAUUAUCGUUAUUAUUAUCCCUGGCUUUUGCCUCUUCCUGGAGUGCUGGCUGAUGAGGAUCAUAAGCUCUAGCAGCUGUGUAAACAUACAGGCAGCUCGCUCUUUCUUUCUUCUUUCUUUCCUUCUCCCUCCCUCUCUUUCCUUCCUUCCUUCUUUUUUUCUGACACAGUAACUCCAGCGACCGAGGCAAGCUGGGAUCCCUGGUCUCUCAGUAGACACAGGAGACAGUGUGUCUGCUGGGCAGGCUUCCUGGAAGAAGAAGCCCUUUUCCUGGUCCCUGAAGGACUCUUUGGUCUGUAAUGUGCAAGGCUACUUCCCUGUUGAGGGGGGUGAGAUUUCAUCUGAAAGGUGAUGUCAUUUUCCUGUCAUCACAAUCCAGCCCAUUGCAUGAGGAAGAAGCCUAACCCCAGGCCAGACCCAGGAAUGAAGGGGCUGGCCCAGGCAGGAAGCAGAGUUGAUUCUGGAUCUCUUGACUUGGGCCACGAGUGGGACAAGACUCUGUAGGACUGAUUUCCCACCCAAGGUAUUAGCACAGCGAUGCCCUCAGCCCUUACAGGUGGAGACCAGGCCUGGGCCAGCAGGAGCCAGUCCUCUGAUUGCAUAUUCACCUCCUCAUUUACCCACACAAUAUGGGUCACACAAUAUCCUUUUCGAUGUGAGCCUUAACCUCCUGGGAGGUACUGCCCAGGAAGCCAUGCCUUUGAGGCAAUACUCCAGAUAGUGCCAAGUAGAAACCACUGGAAGUUCAAAUGACUGGAGGCUGAGCAGAGGCUGCUGUGGAUGUGUAUUCCAGCCCUUUGGGGAGAGGGGAGGGUUGUUAAAAGUCAGAAGCCUCAUCUUGGCAGCACUGCCUGCCUGUAGAUGUGUUUGGAUUGCUGUAAUAUUUCCUUUUCAGUGCCCCCCUAGCAUUUAGUAAACUUCCUCCUGCAAAUCCCGCUCCGUCUUGGCUGCACUAAUGGGAGUGGAGAAAAGAGGGCUCAUCCAUCCUCAGGCUAAAGCUGUUCAGGGGGAGAAUGCUCCCCCUCCCCUGGGGACACUGCAGUGGUGAGAGAUCUCUGGAGGGUGGGAGAGAGGGCAGCCUGAGAGGCAGGGCGAAGGCUGCUCAGUUAGAGAAAGCGGCCCAUCAGGGCUCAUUGCUUGAGAAGAGAGCGCCGUCUUCCCGCUUCCCGGCAGGAGCCAAAUGAAGCCAUCUCUGGCAAAGAAUUGUCUCACUCCAUUGUGGGGGCUGGCAAGUCUGAAAUCCUUGGGGCAAGCCAGCAGGCUGGAGCUUCAGGUAAGAGUUGAUGUUUCAGUCUUGAGUCCAAAGGCUUCAGGUAAGAGUUGAUGUUUCAGUCUUGAGUCCAAAGGCUUCAGGUAAGAGUUGAUGUUUCAGUCUUGAGUCCAAAGGCUGGAAACUCAGGCAGGGUUUCUGUGUUAUAGCCUUGAGGCAAAAAUUCCUUCUUCAGGAAAUGUCAGUUUCUGCUUCUGUGCCCUUCAACUGAUUGGAUGAGGCCCACCACAGUGGAUCAUAAAUGUUCAUCACGUCUUAAAAACACCUUUACAGCAAUAUCUAGACUAGUGUUUGACCACACAGUUGGUCACCAUGGGCUAGCCAAGGUGACACAGAAUUAACCAUCACGCUAUGAACGGGUUGGGGUUCUCAACAAAGGCAUUUCCUUCCCUCUUUCCCACCCUUCCUCCUUUUCAGAGUUAUUGCUGAAGUCUGAAAAGGUUUCAUUCAGUGACAUCUCUGGUGCGUGGCCCUGAUAGCUGUUAGGGUCUGAGCAGUGAGGCCUGCGUGCCCUCCUGUUUCUCUCAGAUCCUUUUUUGCUGACUUUACACUCCAGAGAAUCAGUGUCCCUUCUUCCUGAGUCAAGCCCUAGAAUAGCCUUUUCCACUAAAGCCAUACCAGCUUUCCUCUGCAUCCAGUCCAAAUUGUUCCUAAUCUGAUUCUCGAAUAUAAUUUUUUUUUGUCUUUUUAGGGCCAUACCUGCGGCAUAUGGAGGUUCCCGGGCUAGGGGUCGAAUCGGAGCUGUAGCCGCUGGCCUAUACCACAGCCACAUUAACACAGGGUCUGAGCUGCGUCUGCGGCCUACACCACAGCUCAUGGCAAUGCCAGAUCCUUAACCCACUGAGGGAGGCCAGGGAUUGACCCUGCAUCCUCAUGGAUACUAGUCAGAUUCAUUAACUGCUGAGCCACGACACGAACUCCUUCUGCUUCAUAUAUAUAUAUUCAAUGUCGCAGUUUUCAAGGUUAGAUUAGAAGACCUGGGCUCUGCCACAGCAAGACUGUUAGCUGCCAAGACGAUCUUUCUGGCAUGUGUUAGUUAGCAGUGACCGAGAGGCUGGAAGGAAAGGCUUGAUGGGGGAUUAAGAGUUAACUCCCCACCUAGAAUGUUUCAGGUGGCAUUCUGCCUGGAAGCCGAGAGCUGGACUCUGUUCCAGUUCAGAGAUUUAUCCCCCGCAGGUGACCAAAAUGCUUCUCACUUUAAUGGAAUGUGGAAUUGGUUUUGCAAAAGUUUUGAAGAAUGCCUCGAUGCGAUCGCUAAGGCAGCAUAAGAUUGGGGAAGGAGCUCUGGGCCAAGAAUUAGAAGGCCUGGACUCUGCUCCACCAGAGUCUCUCCAUGUGAUUGUGGGCGGGUCACUUCCUGAGUGGAGGCCUCAGCCGUGAGAUGCUGGAAAGUCCACCUUGCCUUUGCACAGAGCGUCUUGGCUUUCAGAGCAUCUUCAUCAUUCGUCAUCUCUGUUCUUCACUCCAGCCUCAUGAGUGGAAGGUGCAUGCGAUUAAGUCAUCCUGGGAGAUGAAGGCAAAUACAGCUGAGCCCUGAAGGAUGAAGCUGGAUUUGACCAUCAGGAGCCUGAAGGAGGAAGGGGGUCUCUGCCCUACUCUUCCUCCUUGCCCCCUCCCCCUCCUGCCGCAGCCACCCCUGCUCUGGUGCAGUGGCCUGUUUACUGCAGGACCUGGCCAGCCCGGACCCUGGUGGAGCCUCUACCCUUGCUUGUCAGAUUUGCUGUGAUGCCCUGAAGCAGGUACUGCAAAGUGAGAGAGAUUCUGCCUGGCAGCUCUGGGAAGGUUAGAGUAGGAGGGGAGGCACACGGGGUGGCAGGUCAGAAGGAGAUACCUUUCCGUGUGGUUAUGCCCACCCCUCCUAAGGGGCCGAGAGGCAGGAGCUCAGGCUUUGCAUGUGUGAUUUUAGACUGCGAGGGUUUUGUGUCUUUAUUUUAAAACUGGCUUCUCAGUCUCCCGUGCAGUUUUCUGUCAGCUCGUUGCCAUGGAGAAGUCGGUUGGGGCUGAAAGCUCUGUCCCUCCCUGUGUCAGCAUUUCUGGACCUGCCAGCUGCUUCCUGCUCCUUCUACAGAUGGAGCAAGCAUGGGACCCCACUUGGUGGGCAGACCCCUCCUCUGCAAGGCCAGCAGGAGAGGAGCCCCCUUUAUCAGUGCAUCGACUCAGCAGCUCUGCCUCAGGUGCCUGCCUGUGCCAGCAUCGUGCUGUGCUCUGCAGGCAUGACGAGGACUGAGGCUGGGGACACACACAUCUUCAGGCAGGGCUCGCCAGCAUGCUGUCACACCAUCCCAGUUCAUCAGCCUCUUUCUUACUUCAGAAUCUAAAGGACUGGGUUUGUUUCUCUUCCAAGCUUGAUCGCUGUUCAUUUAGAAUCUCCCUGGAUGUUAUCUACCAGUCUCUGCCCUUCUGGAUCUCAUUUCUUCUCUGUGUCCCCAGUCCCUGGGGCCUGGGCAAGAGGUGCUUACCCAGGAAGUGUAUGUCUAAUGAAAUCCUUCCUCAGACCUCUCAGGAUGUCUGUGCUGAGCGGUCUUUCUUCCUCUGUUCUGAGCAUAGAGGCAGAAUGGGUGACAGCGUGAGCCAGUGGAAAAAGGAAGGACUUUGGAACCAGAUACAUCUGUGCUUGGGUUUGGGUUCCACUUUUUCCUAGCUCUGUAAUCUCAAGCAAGUGGCUUCUUCACUUGGAGGCUUAGUCAAAACCAAUACUCUUCUUUAAAUCCGCAUUACCAGUCUGUCAGUAAUUCAGUACUUGAGUUUUGACAUUUUAGAAAACAACACAGAAAUUACUGGUGAGGAGUUCCCGCUGUGGUGCAGUAGGUUAAGGAUCCGGAGUUGUCUCUUAAAAGGGCAUGAGUUCAAUCCCUGGCCUGGUGCAGCGGGUUAAGGAUCCAGCAUUGCUGCAGCUGUGGCAUAGGUUGUAGCCGCAGCUCGGAUUCCAUCCCUGGCCCAGGAACUUCCAUAUGCCACAGGCACAGCCGAAAAAGAAAAAACGAAAGAAAGAACUUACUGGUGGCUGUUUAAGCGCAUCAGGCGCUCUCUGUCUAUACCCAUGUGGGGCUCAGCUAAGAAAAGGUACCCUGCAGAGAGUCCUUGGUGAGGAUCGAGGGACCUAGACAAGUGUCCUGGCUGUAUCACUGAUGGACUGUUAUGAUCUGAUCAAAUUCCUUUCCUUACCAAGACCUCAGCUCCCCUUUUCCGGAAAUUUAGGAAUUGGAUUGGGUCUUGAAGGGUUCUCUUUGCUGUCCAAAUCUGAAGACUCGGCUUCAAAAAAAAAACCUUCCCUCAGCUACUGUCUACCACUGUCACCAAUGCCCCAGGCUGGAGGCUGACCUCACCAUGAACCCUUCUGCCGGAGUCUGGAAGCUGCUUUCCCAGGAAGCUCUGGGCUAGAACACUGGCACUGGAUGCAAAUAUCUCUUUUGGAUGUAAAAGCCCCUUUGAAUGCAUGGUCUCUUUUCCCACCCCCAAUCCAGUGGCUGGGCUGGGCUUGCCUCCCAACACAGUGGAGAAUGCUGGAAGGAAGGUUUUUUUCCUUUCUUCACCUGUGUCUUGCUUUUCCUUCGGACAUGUUGCCUUUGGGAACCUUUGGCUAUUGAAGAUUCUCUUUUCCUGCAACCCAGGGCUCUGUGCUAAGCAAUGAGAAGGAUGUAGAGAUAGAGGUCCCUGUCCCCACAGCCAGCCUCACAAUCUGUGAUGUGGAUGGGUGAAAUAAAGCAGCGCUGCGAAGUUCACAGAAGGCUGUCCAGGGACUCUGGUCAUAGCCCUGGCCCUUGUCUUGGGCAGGUUCUCCUCUUCUCCCGACCCAAUCGGCCUCUUCUGCACAGUUGAGAAGGUUAGACCAGGGAUCUCUAAGGUCCCUUCCUGCUCUGAAACUGCCAUUCUAAGUGCUCAGUGAAGGAGUGAUUGUUGCAGACUUUCUAGAGGAAGGAGGACUUGAGCUGAGCCUUAAAGUCUAGGCUAGGAUUUGGCCUGGCCUGGAUGGGGGUGGGGGGGGAGUCAUGAGCACAGGGUGAGGGUGGGGCAAGACGGAGGCCCUCCUCACUGGAGUGGUCUUGGAGGAGAUGGCUCUUGCCUUCCAUCUGACAACCCUCAUCCCCAGGGGCUUGGGUACUGGUGGUACCCACAGGAUGGAGAAGCAAACCAGGCAGGCUGAAACCAGGUCUCCCUCCCUACCCAGGGAUGUAGUAUGUAUCCAGUCUGAUGCCAUCAAGCAGACUCGAGGUCAAAGCCGGAAGAGGCCUCUCCAGGUCCUUUGCUUCUCACUCCAGUCAGUAGGUUCUCAGUGAGCAGGACCAGAGUAGAGCCUGAAAGGGUAAGUCUUCCUGGGAGAGCUGCCCUUCCUUCAUGGUCUCUGCCUCUCCAGAUGUCUUUCUGAACUCAGGGUGACAACAGGGCUAUUUCUUCUGUGUCUUUGGGAUUAGAUGCCUCCCAGUCUCCUGGCUAAGGCUGCCAAUCCUCUCCCUGUCCAUACCCACAGCUUUGCAGAGCCUACCUCCUUGUUCCCCUCCAGUGGUCCCUCUUCUGCACCCUCCUGUCUCCAAACAGCCCUCUCUGUAGUCCCUCCUCCACAGUCAGGCUAAGGUGUUCAGAAAAGUGGGGUUCCCAUCAUGGCUCAGCAGAAAUGAAUCUGACUAGCAUCCAUGAGGACGCAGGUUUGAUCCCUGGCCUUGCUUAGUGGGUAAAGGAUAUGGCGUUGCCUUGAGCUGUGGUGUAGG